rnacentral:rRNA from 1 species
AUUGAACGCUGGCGGCAGGCCUAACACAUGCAAGUCGAGCGGAUGAAGGGAGCUUGCUCCUGGAUUCAGCGGCGGACGGGUGAGUAAUGCCUAGGAAUCUGCUGGUAGUGGGGGAUAACGUCCGGAAACGGGCGCUAAUACCGCAUACGUCCUGAGGGAGAAAGUGGGGGAUCUUCGGACCUCACGCUAUCAGAUGAGCCUAGGUCGGAUUAGCUAGUUGGUGGGGUAAAGGCCUACCAAGGCGACGAUCCGUAACUGGCCUGAGAGGAUGAUCAGUCACACUGGAACUGAGACACGGUCCAGACUCCUACGGGAGGCAGCAGUGGGGAAUAUUGGACAAAGGGCGAAAGCCUGAUCCAGCCAUGCCGCGUGUGUGAAGAAGGUCUUCGGAUUGUAAAGCACUUUAAGUUGGGAGGAAGGGCAGUAAGUUAAUACCUUGCUGUUUUGACGUUACCAACAGAAUAAGCACCGGCUAACUUCGUG